UACAGAGGGUGCGAGCGUUGUCCGGAAUCACUGGGCGUAAAGGGCGCGUAGGUGGUGGCUUAAGCGUGCGGUGAAAGCUCGGGGCUCAACCCCGAGUCGGCCGUGCGAACUGGGCUCACUGGAGCAUAGUAGAGGCAGGUGGAAUUCCGGGUGUAGCGGUGGAAUGCGUAGAGAUCCGGAAGAACACCGGUGGCGAAGGCGGCCUGCUGGGCAGUAGCUGACGCUGAGGCGCGACAGCGUGGGGGAGCAAACAGG
rnacentral:rRNA from 1 species